GAUGAACGCUGGCGGCGUGCUUAACACAUGCAAGUCGAACGGUGAACACGGAGCUUGCUCUGUGGGAUCAGUGGCGAACGGGUGAGUAACACGUGAGCAACCUGCCCCUGACUCUGGGAUAAGCGCUGGAAACGGCGUCUAAUACUGGAUACGAGUAGCGGCCGCAUGGUCAGUUACUGGUAAGAGUUGUCGGUUGGGGAUGGGCUCGCGGCCUACCAGCUUGUUGGUGAGGUAAUGGCUCACCAAGGCGUCGACGGGUAGCCGGCUCUGUGGGGGUGACCGGCCACACUGGGACUGAGACACGGCCCAGACUCCUACGGGAGGCAGCAGUGGGGAAUAUUGCACAAUGGGCGAAAGCCUGAUGCAGCAACGCCGCGUGAGGGAUGACGGCCUUCGGGUUGUAAACCUCUUUUAGCAGGGAAGAAGCGAAAGUGACGGUACCUGCAGAAAAAGCGCCGGCUAACUACGUGCCAGCCGCCGCAGUAA
rnacentral:rRNA from 1 species